rnacentral:rRNA from 1 species
AUACGGAGGGUGCAAGCGUUAAUCGGAAUUACUGGGCGUAAAGCGUACGUAGGCGGUUCGUUAAGUUAGAUGGGAAAGCCCCGGGCUUAACCUGGGAACUGCAUUUAAAACUGGCGAACUAGAGUUGAGUAGAGGGGAGUGGAAUUUCAGGUGUAGCGGUGAAAUGCGUAGAGAUCUGAAGGAACACCAGUGGCGAAGGCGGCUCCCUGGACUCGAACUGACGCUGAGGUACGAAAGCGUGGGUAGCAAACGGGAUUAGAAACCCUUGUAGUCC